UGAGGGAAUAUUGGGUCAAUGGACGCAAGUCUGAACCAGCCAAGUAGCGUGCAGGAUGACGGCCCUAUGGGUUGUAAACUGCUUUUAUGCGGGGAUAAAGUGUGCCAUGUAUGGCAUUUUGUAGGUACCGCAUGAAUAAGGACCGGCUAAUUCCGUGCCAGCAGCCGCGGUAAUACGGAAGGUCCGGGCGUUAUCCGGAUUUAUUGGGUUUAAAGGGAGCGUAGGCCGGAGAUUAAGCGUGUUGUGAAAUGUAGUGGCUCAACCUCUGCACUGCGGCGCGAACUGGUCUUCUUGAGUACGCACAACGUGGGCGGAAUUCGUGGUGUAGCGGUGAAAUGCUUAGAUAUGACGAAGAACUCCGAUUGGGAAGCCAGCUUACUGUAGCGCCACUGACGCUGAUGCUCGAAAGUGCGGGUAUCGAACAGGAUUAGAUACCCUGGUAGU
rnacentral:rRNA from 1 species